CCAUCUCUUCUCCUCCCCACGAACUUGAAGCGGUGAUUUAAUACUCAUGAAGUCACCUCACAAUCGGAGCAUUCAACGAGUGAAAACUGCCACUGGAGCUCACCCGCCGCCGUUUCCCCCAGCUUAAAAAGCAGGCCGUGGUGGUGCCAUCCGCCUCCACUCCAAUCAGGGUUGAUCUCCGGCUGGAACUGCUCGACGUUGGACAAGCACCCGAUUAAUUCCAUUGGAUUUUGCCUGCUGCUACCUCAGGACAUCCGGAUUCUUUGGAUUUCUUGGCUUCUGGUCGCAUUCUCGGAUAGAUGUGUGGUUGGCCUUCUUCCCCAUUGCCAAGCACCAUCGCCUGAGCUGUGCUUGGAAUUGGAUUGCAUAGUACCUAUGGUGGCUGAUUAUUUGGUGCAUUAACGUCGCAUCCAUCGAGGUGUCAUGCCUGGUUGUCCCAGCAAGUACGCAAUGGCCAUUCAAUUUACUUAGCAGUUAGCACUGGUUAUGGUUGUGCAUCUCUGUAGCCAGGUUAGAUUGCAUUUUCUGUUAUCUUCUAGGUGAAGUUCAGGGAAAGAUGGAAAGUUAAUUAGUGUAGC